UACAGAGGGGGCAAGCGUUGUUCGGAAUUACUGGGCGUAAAGGGCGCGUAGGCGGCCUGUUAAGUCGAACGUGAAAUCCCCGGGCUCAACCCGGGAACUGCGUCCGAUACUGGCAGGCUUGAAUCCGGGAGAGGGAUGUGGAAUUCCAGGUGUAGCGGUGAAAUGCGUAGAUAUCAAGCGGAACACCGGUGGCGAAGGCGGCCUUCUGGACAGUGACUGACGCUGAGACGCGAAAGCGUGGGGAGCAAACAGG
rnacentral:rRNA from 1 species